AUAUUCUCGGGAGAACGAAGAAAUACACAUCCUGCUUGGGCACCUGAUGUGUAUGGAGUGAGUGGUGCAACCGGCCCGGUAUUCA
rnacentral:ncRNA from 1 species